rnacentral:tRNA from 1 species
CCCAGAUAGUUUAACCAAAACACCUAGGUCGUGACCCUAGAAAUAGAGUUACACUCUUCUGGGCU